rnacentral:rRNA from 1 species
UGGGGAAUAUUGGACAAUGGGCGAAAGCCUGAUCCAGCCAUGCCGCGUGUGUGAAGAAGGUCUUCGGAUUGUAAAGCACUUUAAGUUGGGAGGAAGGGCAGUAAGCGAAUACCUUGCUGUUUUGACGUUACCGACAGAAGAAGCACCGGCUAACUCUGUGCCAGCAGCCGCGGUAAUACAGAGGGUGCAAGCGUUAAUCGGAAUUACUGGGCGUAAAGCGCGCGUAGGUGGUUCGUUAAGUUGAAUGUGAAAGCCCCGGGCUCAACCUGGGAACUGCAUCCAGAACUGGCGAGCUAGAGUAGGGCAGAGGGUGGUGGAAUUUCCUGUGUAGCGGUGAAAUGCGUAGAUAUAGGAAGGAACACCAGUGGCGAAGGCGACCACCUGGUCUCAUACUGACACUGAGGUGCGAAAGCGUGGGGAGCAAACAGG